rnacentral:lncRNA from 1 species
CCGCCCCGUCAGGACCCGCGGCAGCUGCCCCCGUCCCCCCGUCCCCGAGGAGCGACGCCGAAGGAGCGGGAGCGACUCACUCAUGGGAGCGCGGCGGGCGAGGCCGGCGACACCUCCGGCUUCCGAGGCGCCGGCGAAGUUAAUUGCACUGAAGUUCAAGUUGUCUUUUCACCCAUCAGGAGUGGGCGUUUAAAGGAAGGAGAGCGAGGAGGAGGAGGGGGAGGGGGGAGAGCCUCUCUCGCUCGCUCUCGCACACACACACACACACGCACACACACACACACAUACACAGAGAGAGAGAGAGAGAGAGAGACGCGCACACAGACACACGCACACAGACGCGCACGCCCGCCCGCUCCCGCGCUGCCUCAGCAGGAGGAGCCCGGCCGGAACACACCAGGGCAGCACCAGGUGAGGUAAUGAAACUGUUGAAUCUGCAGACUGAAACCGUCAGAAGCCUUUCCUGAGGUGCCCCUUACUGAAAUGCUACUGUGGCAUAAUGAUUUGGAAAUAAGCUUUUGUGUGAGAAGAGCUAUCGGAUCCUCUGGGAAACAUUACAGAUACUUUCCAGUUCCUUUCAGACAUCUGGAACUUGAAAUGGUCAAUAUUCAGAAGAAAAACUGCAUAAAUGUGUGUAUAUGUAAGAGUUAUGUUGACCCAUGAUUAAAAGAGAGGGUCCUCUUCUGCUGUUCAUCACAAAUGAUCAACAGAACUCUUCAUAAUGCUCAGAUGCUUGCAUCGAUCCCAAGAAAUACGAACUUUAUGAAGUAUGACUUGUUUCCGUCUCAAAGUGUGCAGCUAUAGCUAUAGCACUGAAAACCGUUGCAUGCUAUCUAGCAUUUCUCAUGAUUUUUUGCUUUCUUCAUGAUUUAAGCUAAGCACAUCAGAAACUGAAGAUAACGUUUUAACCUAUAAGAACAGCAGCCUGACUUCUGUAAUGUGCUCAUGUGCUAUUACCUGUGAAACAGAGCAAGAAGACUGCUCACUAGCAGGGUCUGCCCAUCGCUGUCCAGCUGCCUAAUGACAUGUUAAGACUUGGUUUCAGCAACUGUGCUCCAACCAGUAUUACUAUAAUUGGUUGUAGUUGAAGAUGUCAGUAAAAAAAUACAAUCAGGCUGGAGUGUCCUACGCAUAUUUUAAAUGCAAAUGGCCGUUAUCAGCUGUAUCAUAACUUUAUCUGAUGUCUGAUCUUAGUGGUGGCUCUGUGGAAAAGACUCAGAUGACUUUUUCUGAACACAGCUGCUCCUUUCAGUGCAUUUCUGCAGUCUUUUGAUUAUCUUACUUACUAUCUGUUGGCUAGACACCAACCUCCUGAACUUAGGCCUGUGUCACCUCACUACCUGUGUCUCUCCUAAAAAAUCUGUUCAUUCAAAAGGAUAUCAUGCCAACAAUAUAACAGAUUCAUCUGUCUUUCUGCAAACUGGCUUGAGUUUCUUCCAGCCACUCACUGGGGUUGCUUGUUUCCAGGCCCUGAUGCUGCACAGUACCUCAAUCCAUUCAGCUUCUCUUCAAGAUGGUAACUACUUUCCGCUCCACAUCUCUGCUGCAGAAGAUCUUGUGAUUACCUGAAAAAGUGAAUUGCAUCCUGUAGAUUUCCCCUUAAAACUUCUGCUUCACAGAAGAGAUCAGCUUGUGACAGAUGCGUCAGCAAUGUCAGACUCACUUCUCUGUUGCCUAAUUGCCCUCUCCACCUUCUGUCAAUCUGAAACUCUCAUUUUGGAAAGGACUGAAGGAGUUGUAUUAAUAUUUGUGCUAUCCACAUUUUUCCUGCAUAUUGUCUGCUCCUUCCCUUGGUGUCUGGUUUGUCUUGGCUGCUUUUAAAAAUUCUGUUGCCUCUAGUGAGGGACUGCCAGAUUAAACCAGUACAGAGAAUCCAGGUGACUGUCUACUUUUACAAAUAUAGGUUGUGUAUAAUAAAUUCAGGUUUUACAUCUAUGCAAAUUAAGUCAUCAUAUGAUUAUGACUACAUGCAUUUUUUUAUCAAAUAUGGCAUAUAUUUCACAAAUUAUAUUUAACUUAUACACAUGUUGCUAUUCUGAAUACCUGACUAGGAAUUACAAAGUGUGUCACUAGAUCUUAGUAAGUGGGCUUAUGGAACAAGAAGAAAUAAGAGAAAAUCACCUCUUUUCCUUGCAUUCCUGACAAGUCCAGUGUAAGGGCUUUUCCUACUCUAGAUGGCAAUAUAAACACCUUACCACAGAGCUGUUGAGAGAUAAAAGUACAUCUUGUUGUUGGAAACUUAAAGAAUGUAUGAAAAACAAAACAAAAUACCCUAAAAAAGGAAGUUUUAAAGUAAUGUGUCUUUGGUCUAGUGUUUGUCACAUCUACUUGGUAUGGCCUUCCUCUAAUGUUUCAGUCAUGCAGUGUAAGACAUUAGUCACAAUGUCAAAAUAAGCACAUUACUUCUGCAAAAAUGUAUUUUCACCUCAGGAAUAUUGUGAAGUGAAAAUAGGAUUUAGCACAAUUCUUCCUUUUGAGUUUUUCUACAGACAGGACAGUUUUAGUGUAAAGCUCUAAAUCUUGCAAGAUUAUUCCCAGCAUUAGGUACGACACAUCUGGAAGAAUCUGCCAACUGAGUGCUGGCAAGGAUUACGCUGAGAAGGUAACAACUCAGUGCUUUCACUGUUAACCGUCCUCCACAACUGCUGUUUUUUGGUGUUUUUGUGUGUGUGUGUUCGUUUGUUUCUUUGUUUUCCGAAUAAAUAAACAAAUACUUUGUUGAGCUCAA